GCAAUGAUGACUUCACUGGCACUGACACUUUGAACUGAUUUUGCCUUAUUUUCCUCUAAGAAGUUCUGAGCUU
rnacentral:snoRNA from 13 species